CAACCCUGUUCCUGGAGAGAAACCCUCCUGUAGGUUUACACUCCAACCCUGUUCCUGGAGAGAUACCCUCCUGUAGGUUUACACUCCAACCCUGUUCCUGGAGAGAAACCCUCCUGUAGGUUUACACUCCAACCCUGUUCCUGGAGAGAAACCCUCCUGUAGGUUUUAACUCCAACCCUGUUCCUGGAGAGAUACCCUCCUGUAGGUUUACACUCCAACCCUGUUCCUGGAGAGAUACCCUCCUGUAGGUUUACACUCCAACCCUGUUCCUGGAGAGAUACCCUCCUGUAGGUUUACACUCCAACCCUGUUCCUGGAGAGAUACCCUCCUGUAGGUUUACACUCCAACCCUGUUCCUGGAGAGAUACCCUCCUGUAGGUUUUAACUCCAACCCUGUUCCUGGAGAGAAACCCUCCUGUAGGUUUACACUCCAACCCUGUUCCUGGAGAGAUACCCUCCUGUAGGUUUACACUCCAACCCUGUUCCUGGAGAGAUACCCUCCUGUAGGUUUACACUCCAACCCCAGUUGUAACUAACCUGAUUCAGCUUAUCAACCAGCUAAUUAUUAG
rnacentral:lncRNA from 1 species